UACACUCCUGCGGGAGGCAGCAGUGGGGAAUUUUGGACAAUGGGCGAAAGCCUGAUCCAGCAAUGCCGCGUGAGUGAAGAAGGCCUUCGGGUUGUAAAGCUCUUUUGUCAGGGAAGAAACGGUGAAAGCUAAUAUCUUUUGCUAAUGACGGUACCUGAAGAAUAAGCACCGGCUAACUACGUGCCAGCAGCCGCGGUAAUACGUAGGGUGCAAGCGUUAAUCGGAAUUACUGGGCGUAAAGCGUGCGCAGGCGGUUUUGUAAGUCUGAUGUGAAAUCCCCGGGCUCAACCUGGGAAUUGCAUUGGAGACUGCAAGGCUAGAAUCUGGCAGAGGGGGGUAGAAUUCCACGUGUAGCAGUGAAAUGCGUAGAUAUGUGGAGGAACACCGAUGGCGAAGGCAGCCCCCUGGGUCAAGAUUGACGCUCAUGCACGAAAGCGUGGGGAGCAAACAGGAUUAGAAACCCUAGUAGUCCCAUG
rnacentral:rRNA from 1 species